UGUGUAGUGUGUGUGAGAAGGUGUGGUAGUGCAGCCUCUAGGGCUAUAAAUAUGGGUCUCCAACCCUUAGAUCGGUAUGGCAUUGUGUAGUGUUUGAGGAAAUAAACAGAAAAUUGCCCCAACUCAUAGUGUCAUCCUCUUGAUGAGAGUUAGUCCCUCUACUUACAAUUGGUAUCAGAGCCAAACUAUCCUGCAGCCUAAACAUCUCGUGCUCAUCUCCUCCCCUUUCG
rnacentral:lncRNA from 1 species